rnacentral:rRNA from 1 species
AGUGAACGCUGGCGGUAGGCCUAACACAUGCAAGUCGACCGGCAGCACAGGAGAGCUUGCUCUCUGGGUGGCGAGUGGCGGACGGGUGAGGAAUACAUGGGAAUCUACUCUGUCGUGGGGGAUAACGUAGGGAAACUUACGCUAAUACCGCAUACGACCUACGGGUGAAAGCAGGGGACCUUCGGACCUUGCGCUAUUGAAUGAGCCGAUGUCGGAUUAACUAGUUGGCGGGGUAAAGGCCCACCAAGGCGACGAUCCGUAGCUGGUCUGAGAUGAUGAUCAGCCACACUGGAACUGAGACACGGUCCAGACUCCUACGGGAGGCAGCAGUGGGGAAUAUUGGACAAUGGGCGCAAGCCUGAUCCAGCCAUACCGCGUGGGUGAAGAAGGCCUUCGGGUUGUAAAGCCCUUUUGUUGGGAAAGAAAUCCAACUGGCUAAUACCCGGUUGGGAUGACGGUACCCAAAGAAUAAGCACCGGCUAACUUCGUGCCAGCAGCCGCCGUAA